AGAGUUUGAUCCUGGCUCAGGACGAACGCUGGCGGCGUGCUUAACACAUGCAAGUCGAACGGUGAACCCGCUUCGGUGGGGGAUCAGUGGCGAACGGGUGAGUAACACGUGGGCAACCUGCCCUCAGCUCUGGGAUAACUCCAAGAAAUUGGGGCUAAUACUGGAUAUGACCGCUGACCGCAUGGUCUGGUGGUGGAAAGAUUUAUCGGCUGGGGAUGGGCCCGCGGCCUAUCAGCUUGUUGGUGGGGUAGUGGCCUACCAAGGCGACGACGGGUAGCCGGCCUGAGAGGGUGACCGGCCACACUGGGACUGAGACACGGCCCAGACUCCUACGGGAGGCAGCAGUGGGGAAUUUUCCGCAAUGGGCGAAAGCCUGACGGAGCAAUGCCGCGUGGAGGCAGAAGGCCCACGGGUCAUGAACUUCUUUUCUCGGAGAAGAAAAAUGACGGUAUCUGAGGAAUAAGCAUCGGCUAACUCUGUGCCAGCAGCCGCGGUAAU
rnacentral:rRNA from 1 species